rnacentral:rRNA from 1 species
GACGAACGCUGGCGGCGUGCCUAAUACAUGCAAGUCGAGCGAAGCGGCGGUCGGGUGAGUAACGCGUGGGUAACCUGCCCUUAAGUCUGGGAUACUAUUAGGAAACAGAUGCUAAUACCGGAUACUAAAGGAUGGACCUGCGAUGCAUUAGCUAGUAGGUAAGGUAACGGCUUACUAAGGCGAUGAUGCAUAGCCGGGUUGAGAGACUGAUCGGCGACUUUGGGUCUGAGAGACGACCCAGACUCCUACGAGAGGCAACAGUAUAGAAUGUUACACAAUAGGGGAAACCCGGAUGCAGCAACGCCGCGUGCGGGAUGGCGGCCUUCGGGUUGUAAGCCGCUUUCAGCCAUGACGCGGUAGUGGCAGCAGAAGCACCGGCUAACUACGUGCCAGCAGCCGCGGUAAUAC